GUGUUUGCUUCCGAAGCACAUGUACCAAAAUGCAAACAAUAGAGAAGAUUAGCAUGCCACUGCACAAGGAUGACACACAACAUGUAUGAAGCAUUCAUAUUUUUU
rnacentral:snRNA from 1 species